rnacentral:lncRNA from 1 species
ACAUGCAUGGCCACCAGGGGAGCCUUCAAGAACAUAGCUGGACAGCAUGCAUCUUUGUUGGAGGAACGAGGCAACGGUGUCUGUGGCAAAAUUUAGAUCAUUGUAUUAACACCCAGAUCAGAGCUGCAUGGCAAGAACCAUUUUCUCCUUCCUGAGAUAAUACCACUAAAGCACUGGGCAUCCCACUGGACUCCAUCGUGCAGCCAAGCACAAACUCAAAGCCUGCGUGUGUAGCCCUUCCUGUGAGGACCAUCUACGAGUAGCCUGGCACAGUUUCCUCAGAGACUCAGCUCAGGGUUUCUUUUAUUUUGUUUGUUUGGUUUUUUUGGGGGGGUGGUGGGAUUUUUCCCCCGCCUUUGUCAUCACUGAGGUGUUCACACUUGGAGCUGAAUUUCUGAAUUAAAUUGGAUAGUGUCCUUCUACAGG